GGGGUUGUGGAUCAGUGGUAGAGUGCUUGCCUAGCAUGUAUGAGGCACUGGGUUCAAUUCUCAGUACCACG
rnacentral:tRNA from 1 species